rnacentral:rRNA from 1 species
CAAUAGCGUAUACUAAAGUUGUUGCAGUUAAAAAGCUCGUAGUCGGAUUUCAGUUUGUUUACAUUUAACCUUUUUGGUUUUUAUGUGAAUUUACUUUAUGCAAGAAACUUUCAUAUUAUUUUAUUUGAUAUGUUUUGGGACUUUGCUCAUUUACUUUGAGAAAAUUAGAGUGUUUCAAAAGCAGGUAUUUGUCCUGAAUAUUACUCUUGGAAUAAUAAUAUAGGACUUCAGUUCUAGUUUGUUGGUGAUCUGGAACCGGAGUAAUGAUUUGAUAGGGACAGUUGGGGUCAUUCAUACUGCAAAGGCGAGAGGUGGAAUUCUUGGACCUUUGUAUGAUGAACAACUGCGAAAGCAUUUGACUAGG